UACGAAGGGGGCUAGCGUUGUUCGGAUUUACUGGGCGUAAAGCGCACGUAGGCGGAUCGUUAAGUCGGGGGUGAAAUCCUGGAGCUCAACUCCAGAACUGCCUUCGAUACUGGCGAUCUAGAGUCCGGAAGAGGUGAAUGGAACUCCUAGUGUAGAGGUGGAAUUCGUAGAUAUUAGGAAGAACACCUAUGGCGAAGGCAGCUCUCUGGGACGGUACUGACGCUGAGACGCGAAAGCGUGGGGAGCGAACAGG
rnacentral:rRNA from 1 species